GCGGCGGCGCUAGGGUAUCGUGUUUUGUGACUGCAGAAAGGGGGAAAUAUCAUCGCUAUUCGGACACAAAUAUAUUUCAUCUCCACGAUUCAUCGCCGUCACCACACGCCAGGCCUUCGUCGACAAAGCCAGAUGCCACGAUGCCACCCCGGCUCAUUAACAGUGCCACAACACCCACUCCUCCUCCAACAGCCAGCCACGCCGUCGACGCCUACCGCCGGACACCAGGAGACGGACGAGUGCGCAGAGGCCUUCAACGAUGCUGCACUAACAGUGAAGGCGACUCUCAGGUGCUAUUGGAACCUGCUCAUAUGACUGCAUCCUACCAUGCCUUGCACCAUUUCAGGCUUGCAUCUCCCAAGGUCGGAUACCUACGGAUAGCUCAUAUCACUGCCGCUGGUUAGGUAUUUUGAAAUGGUUUAUCAGACUAUUUACGAAGAUGUUGUGUACACACUACAUGUCAACUAAAAAAUCAUCCGUACAUCUUAGAUUUACAUUUGAAGAACAAUGACAUAUGAUACAUUUAUAUAAAGUAGAGUUUGUGAGUCUGACGCCGCGUUCUCCGUGAUUGUGUUAAUUUCAUAAACUUUAUUUUUUGGAUUAAAUGUCAUGUUAAUAUUGAUA